GGGCUGGCCUGCGACGGAAAGGAAUCUUUCUUAGACAACAUCCUUCAGCCGAGGGGUUGCUGAUGUAUCCCCCGGGGAAGAGGCUCGGAUGGAGGAAAAGCGCACCCAUCUCCCCCAGCUCAGUAUCUCGCCCGGCGCACCUGGCGCAGGCCGGCUCGGCGAACGGGGCAGAGCUCGGCCUUGCUGCUGGGGCCCGUCCGGCACCACCGCCUCCUUAAAUAGUCCUGCAAGGGCAAACACAGUGGUCAAACAUGGGUGAGAAAUGUUCGCCGCCCCCGGUUGGAAGACAACAAACAGCUCUUCGUCUUUCUUCUUAGAGGAUUGGAAAGUAAUUUGCAUCUGUGACAGUGUGCCCCAUGGUUCCAGACAACAUAAAUAUUGUUUAGGGCUUGUUUAUACAUGUAGUUGUUCAGGAGGAGCUGUUCCUGACUAAUUUCAUGACUAAUUUCCAGAAUAAGGCUAAGUGUUCCGGUUUAGUAUAACACUGUGAGUUUUAAUUAAAGACGAAAAUAGGGCACACCUAUUCUUGAAGAGGGAUGUUUACAGAAUUGUUGUUGAAUAACUUCUCUGUACAUGAGCCAAGAAUCAACAGACACCUAAACCGGCUUCCCAUUUCCCUCCAGGCUGAUGUACAAGUUGCUUGCUUUGCAGAUACUAUUGCUUUAGAAAGCCACAAAGAAAAUAAGAUGGCAGUUAUGACACAUAUUCUCUGCUUUGAUUUGCCUGACAUUUUUAGGGGACAUUUUGUUGGCUGUCUGUGGUAUUUUCACUGAACAUGGGAAGACAUUGUAUGUGACUGAUACUCAGUACAACAGCAUGAGUUCUCAGUGUGUUCCAACAACCAUGGUGAGCUCUGUGUGCUGUGACCAUCCUCUUAUCAUCCCAGGAGCACAAACUAGCUGGGUAAUAAAGUUGCCAUCUGAGAUUCCUAUCUCAGUGGUAACACAAGAAUAUGAAACAGAGCUUGUGCUCAAGCACGGGUAUUUUAUGUAUGCCCAGAAAAACCCUGAAGCCCAUGACAAGUAUGCAGAAACCUCCCCAUAUGUUAGGCAUACUUCAUGAAGCACCAAGUGCACAGAACAAUGCGGAGAGAAGAAAAACCUCCAUCUUCAUCCCCGCUGCUGGGAAGCGCUGCUUAGCGGCACUCGAAGCUUGGACACAGAAGGAGAAGCAAUGUUAGGAAUGCAGUAUGUCCAGUAUUGCCUACACCUUGUGGGCCACAGCUUCAUGAGAUAUGGACAACCCGUUUGGAUCCGUUCUUCUGUGACUGCAGGCUGUUUGCGUGAGUCAUCUGGAUUCGUCUUGAUAGGCUGCAGUAAGAGAGGCUGGGUCUCUCCAGCUUACACUUGCUCCCCCAUUAGUCAGAGAACAAGACUUCAGCUUUGAUUUUUUAAAAAGAAAGUGUCAUCAUUGUUGCUUCUUAUAUAAGGACAUCUGGUGUCAUAACUCCAGCGUGUCUGUAUUAAUUCUGAAAGCUAUAUAGGACUUUUUUUUUUUUUAACAGUUUUCCUUUGCUUCUAGUUUUCAAUUAUAAUAUGCCAUCUGGGCUGGGUAAAGUUCUUUCACUUUAUCUUGUGGAGGGUCUUGAUUUUUCAUCCGCUGAAUGCAUUUAGUCUUCCUUUCCAAGGUAGAACCCCCGUUUCAGGUCAUUUCUUCUUUAGGAGUUUUCAGAUAAGCUUUCAUAAGACAAAGGUCAGUACCACUGCUAAAUACCUUGUAUCAUGCCACUUCUUCAAGGUAUGACACAGCCAAGAUUCAGAUCACAGUUAUAAGACCUCAUGACUACUCUGUCAUGGUGUGGUGCAGUCUUUACCCCAUGACUUGUUUCAGGAGCAAAAUACUUAUCCUUGUUAUGAGGAGGGGAAAGGAAGAGAGGAAGAAAUCACCAAAGACUGUCUUUGUUCUCUGUUAAUGGUAACACAAUAGAAAUAUUCUGUGUUUUAGAACUCUGUUAGUAACAGUAGUAUAACCAUUCCUUAUGACUUAAAUCUGUCUUUUAAAUCCAUCUACACAAGUGGUCCUUCGUCUUUUCUCACACUCCUGUAUCAUAGAGGGAUUUCUUUUUCAUGGGAUCUGAGUCCCAUUAGAUUCCUUUUUCUCAUUUAAUAGUGGGAGGAGACCAUGGAGAUCAUAUCUUUGAAUGAAAAGAACCCAGUCAGUUGAUUCUGCGAAAAUUCUAACACACUUGACCUCUUGCAUCACUAAUUCCUAGUAGCAUCGUUAGUCAUUUCAUCCUCUGGUAGAAUAGAAGCCCAGCAUGAUACAUUGGAAGCUCUGAUCUCCUGAAGAGCAGUCACUUCUGAUUACCGAUUUUGAAGACAAGCUCUGUGAGAGCUGGGGGAGAAAGAAUUUUUUUCAAGUCUGGAAUAAGUCAGUACCCACCUCUUUGCCUCAGAUGAGCAAUUCUUUUCCAUUUUAUCUGAGACAUGACAAUUCUUUUAAGCAGCUCUGGAAAGUAGCAGCAUCCAGCUGAAGUGGAAGAAGGAAUAAAUGCCCAUACAAUGAGAAGCCAGUAAUUUUAAGCCAGACAUUCAUAAAGACAUACAGACUAAUGGAUUCCAAACUGCCGUAAGUCCCAUGAAAAAUUAGCAAUCAAGUUGUCUUGACUCUAUUUCAGCAGCAAGGAACUUUGGAAUGGAAAAAAAGGACAGAACAACACGAUCUCUGAAGGGGACUUCAGUUUACCAGAUGUCUGCUGGAAAUACAACACUGCAGAGGGGAAUCAGUCUAAGAGGCUUCUGGAGCUUAUGGAGGGCAACUUCCUGACACAGCUGUCUAUCCUGUAAGAAGAUUGCAAAAAUAAAUUCAGAAGGUAAAGGAAGGAACUCACUAUAGUCUUCAUCUUCUGAUUCAAGAUGGGGAAGAAAAUAGAAAAGACAGUAUAAUAUAAGUAAACUUACCUGGAUAAAAACUGAGCCGUUGAUAAAGAUUUGGAACAACCUGGCUAAACUCUAAGGUCUUGAUAUGUCAGCUCUGCGCAACACCAUGAGAAAAUUUAAGAGGAAAAACGGGUUAUGCUCAAACAUUAAUACUACAGGGAAGAAGGAGUCUUCCCCUCUUUGCAGAAAUUCCAAGGGACUUGGAAAGCUUCAGGUAACAUUGGGCCCUUUUGAGCAUCAAGGGCUGUGUCCUCUGAGGUUGAAAGAAAAUGGAAAACUAGUCCUCCUGGAUCACACUCUUUGGCUCAGGCAGUCAGCUUGCACCGACCUGAACUGAGCUGGAAUGAUUGCUUUCAACAGGACUUUUGGGUUUGCCUUCACAAUUCCCACAGCCACUAACGCCAACAGGAUCCCCACUGGAGAUCACUAGGCUUGGUAUCUGUUUCCUACCAGUGAUAUCAUUUGAUUACAUGCAGUAAAACACGCAAGAGAACAAGGCAAAACCUUCUUCUGGAGGCACAGUUGCUGAGGAAACCAUCUUCUCUCUGUAUUCAGUAGUUCAGUAACCAUUU